rnacentral:rRNA from 1 species
CAAUAGCGUAUAUUAAAGUUGUUGCAGUUAAAAAGCUCGUAGUUGGAUUUCGGGACGGGCCAGUUGGUCCGCCGCAAGGUGUGUUACUGACUGGUCUGUUCUUCUUCGCAAAGACUGCGUGUGCUCUUCGUUGAGUGUGCGUAGGAUUUACGACGUUUACUUUGAAAAAAUUAGAGUGUUCAAAGCAGGCUAUCGCUUGAAUACAUGAGCAUGGAAUAAUGGAAUAGGACUUUGGUCCUAUUUUGUUGGUUUCCAGGACCGAAGUAAUGAUUAAGAGGGACAAUUGGGGGCAUCCGUAUUUCGUUGUCAGAGGUGAAAUUCUUGGAUUUACGAAAGACGAACAACUGCGAAAGCACUUGCCAAGAGUGUUUUCAUUAA